UAUAAAUAGCACACAGAACUUGUUCUUUAGGAGCUCCUGUUCUACUGAGGGAGAAGGACAUGUAAAUUAAUAGCUAUCAUCCCGUAGAAUAAUGUGGGCAGACAGAAGAGGUUCUGAACUCAAUGGUGGGAGAUGAAAAGGAUACAGGAUGGGGAAAGCAGAAACAGGACAGCUUCACACAGUAAUCGCAAACUGCUCUGAAUCUUGAAGGAAGAGUAAAAAAUUAGCCAGCAGAUCAGCCGGAUGAAGGCGGGAAGAGGAAGCCACUUGGCCGGGGUCAUGGAGGAGGUGUGACAGUGAAGGGUCUUCUGCUUCCACAUCCACAAGGCUUUGUCUUCUUUGCUUUGCUGACUCUUCCUCAAAUUUAGAGCUCCCCAAUGGAAGUCAGCCAGCCUUGACUUGGAUAUGUCAAACCCAUCUACUUUGGACCAUGAAAACUAGUGAAUUCACGCAAAAGAUCAGAGGUUAAGAACCUGCUGAAAGCUUUGCCAAGGUGAUGACCUCUCAGGCAAACCUCAGAAUGGAUUUGGUUUGGUCAGAUUCAGCCUUCCCUCUCCCAGGCCAUGUAAUCUUCAUCAUAUACCUGCAUUUUAUGGACAAGUCUGGCCUGUGUACCUUCCCUUUGAACUAAAAAUCUGGACUGGAGGCCACAGACAGUGAACCACCAGUGAGAACAGAAAAAUCUGGAAGAAUCUGGAAGGGUCUUGAAUCUGAAAGACAAAGAAAUAUGGUAAAGGUAAAUUAUUUCAUUCGACUCCCAGAUCAUGGGGUGCUGGCUCCCAGCAAGGGGCUGAAAAAUGGCGGGUAGCAUCAUUGUCAACAUUAUGACAUGCACCAUCUAUAAUCUGUGUGUACUUUCUCCAAUUCUCUUUCCUCUCCUUCCCUAUGUCACUUUGUUACCUCACAGAAUGGGGUUAAUGCUUUGCUAGGUAGGGGAAGGACUCACUCUUUAUCAAAUGCCUCCCUCUCUCACCAAACUUUAUUAAAAAAUGAAGACCUCUGCAUAUCUUUAUUCCCAAAUUUAAAACUA